rnacentral:lncRNA from 1 species
UAGAGACUUAUGCUAUAUGAGUUUUAUUACACAUCAAGAAUUUCUAUUUCUUAUCGACAUGCAAAGCAAUGUAAACUGGCUAAGUUGUUCCUAAAUCAUGCCAGUUGAGGAAUAAAGACACCAGCUGUAGUUUCACUGAGCUUAAAAUUUGAAGACCUAAAGCACCUAAAACUCUUGCAGUUUCAUAUUUAAAAACAUUAUGAAAUUUUACUAUUUGUUUUUUUUUUUUACUGAGAUUUUUUUUUACUGAUCUGCUUUCCCCUUUGGCAAAUGUUACUUACUGUAAAGUUCUGCAAAGCUGACAUCUUUGUUCUGGAAGGCUCAGAGAAGCAAAGUGCACAGACAUUUGGCGUAAUACAGAGAGACAGGGAAGUUGCUGCCAAAACCCAGAGGUGCAGAGUGAUGCGUUCAAACCCUGACUCCUGCUGAGAGACACAGAGAGCGAGAGGAUUAAAGAAAGAGAGUGAAAAAGUGGGGUUGAUUCCUUGUGUUCAGCUGAAUGAACACGAUUCACUCUAAAUGAUGGCGAGAUGCAGAGAAAAGAGGGGUGAUGGAGUACGAGGAGUGAAACUAGUUUACAGGAAGCUGGAGUUCUCAUCUGGAGAACCAGAGCUGCUCAUUCCAGACAUAACUAAGCACUAUGAUGUAUACACCGUCUGUGCUGGGUUGCACAAUGUCGAGGAGAGGGGACGGCAUAACCUGGGUCAACUGUUAGUCAGCAAAAGUACGUAACCCCGCCGGUGUCUGCUGUAAUGCCAAGUUCACUUCCGAGCUGCAGAGAGGAGAGAAAGUUUGCAGGGAGUUUUCUGCAGCCUCCGUCUCUACUAGAAAGAACAAAAUGAAGAG